AGAUUUACAGCUUGACCAUUUAUUUACUGAUAAACACUACUUCACCCAAGAGACUUGAGUAUCCAGUUCUUCGUUGACCUUCAGCAUUCAGUUGUUUGUCUUCACCUUUUCAGGCUAAGCCAUCACCAUGUUGUUGUUUCACAUCAGAAUAAGUAUUUCACAUGAUGCAGAUUUUUCAGCAUGUGGUCCUCAAUAUAUAGUAUAGAAGUCACUGUAUUUUCUGACUUUUCCAGGUUUCCUGUGUCCAGCAUCUUCAAGACAGACUAAGCUAACUUUUCAUAUUUUUUGCACAUUUAUAUUUAGGUUAGGUUAGGAGUAGGUUAGGUUUAUACUAGAGUAUUUAGUUUGUAUAGUUUAGCUUUUUAUGCUGGUCUAGGGACAGUUAAGUUAGCAAAUUAAUUUAGUUCAAAUCACUUACAGUUGCAUAUUAUUGUUACAAUUGUGUUAUUUUGUGAGUUAUUGUUGUACAGGCUAUUGUAUAUUGCAGGACCAAGUGAGACGAGGAAGACCACUGGUUCCAAGAUGCCGCUCAGAAAGUGCGUUGGACAAGUCUCGACCUUGCAGAUCCUGCCCCACUUAGCCCAACCACUUCCGACCAUGGGGUACCUCAAAGACCUCCGUCAACCAGCCGGCUGUGGAUGAUGGAUAACGCACCCACAACUCCUUCUCCAGUCUACAAGGUUCUGAAAAUACAGACACCCCCACAGUCCAAGAACAGCUGGAUGACCUCUGGACCCACCUGCCCCCGUUCACCAGUUGAAAAGAUAGGCUUUUUAAAAAAAUCUUCAAUUGUUAAUUCUGCACAAAGUGAUACACAAAACAUUGUAUGUAUUCAAUUUCAACAAACACAAACAUGAAAUGUAUAUGGUCUCAGUGGCAGUCGCAGGUUCGCAUGGUCUCAGCGGCAGAGUUACUGGUUCACAUGGUGUCAGCGGCAGAGUU